rnacentral:rRNA from 1 species
AUACGGAGGAUGCCAGCGUUAUCCGGAUUUAUUGGGUUUAAAGGGAGCGUAGGCGGGAGCUUAAGUCAGCGGUUAAAUGGUGCGGCUCAACCGUGCCCUGCCGUUGAAACUGGGUUUCUUGAGAGUGCAAGAGGCGGAUGGAAUUCAUGGUGUAGCGGUGAAAUGCUUAGAUAUCAUGAAGAACUCCGAUUGCGAAGGCAGUGCGCUGGGGGACGUCUGACGCUGAUGCUCGAAGGUGCGGGAAUCAAACAGGAUUAGAUACCCUGGUAGUCCGCACGGUAAACGAUGAUUACCCGCUGUCGGCGGUAGACAGUCGGCGGCCAAGCGAAAGCGAUAAGUAAUCCACCUGGGGAGUACGCCGGCAACGGUGAAACUCAAAGGAAUUGACGGGG